GAUGAACGCUGGCGGCGUGCCUAAUACAUGCAAGUCGAGCGAACAGACGAGGAGCUUGCUCCUCUGACGUUAGCGGCGGACGGGUGAGUAACACGUGGAUAACCUACCUAUAAGACUGGGAUAACUUCGGGAAACCGGAGCUAAUACCGGAUAAUAUAUUGAACCGCAUGGUUCAAUAGUGAAAGACGGUUUUGCUGUCACUUAUAGAUGGAUCCGCGCCGCAUUAGCUAGUUGGUAAGGUAACGGCUUACCAAGGCAACGAUGCGUAGCCGACCUGAGAGGGUGAUCGGCCACACUGGAACUGAGACACGGUCCAGACUCCUACGGGAGGCAGCAGUAGGGAAUCUUCCGCAGUGGGCGAAAGCUUGACGGAGCAACGCCGCGUGAGUGAUGAAGGUCUUCGGAUCGUAAAACUCUGUUAUUAGGGAAUAACAAAUGUGUAAGUAACUAUGCACGUCUUGACGGUACCUAAUCAGAAAGCCACGGCUAACUACGU
rnacentral:rRNA from 1 species